rnacentral:rRNA from 1 species
UACGAAGGGUGCAAACGUUGCUCGGAAUUAUUGGGCGUAAAGCGCACGUAGGCGGCUUUGCAAGUCGGAUGUGAAAGCCCUCGGCUCAACCAAGGAAGUGCAUCCGAAACUGCAGAGCUUGAGUACUUAAGAGGAUCGCGGAAUUCCCGGUGUAGAGGUGAAAUUCGUAGAUAUCGGGAGGAACACCAGUGGCGAAGGCGGCGAUCUGGGGAAGAUACUGACGCUGAGGUGCGAAAAGCAUGGGGGAGCGAACAGGG